UUUCUAUUGCAUUGCAGGUAUACCAAUUCGAGUGUGAACAAUUUGUUGUACUGGGGACUAGAUUAUCCACCUUUAACUGCAUAUCAUAGUUGGAUUUGUGGUUAUUUGUAAGUUAUGUCUUUAAGCAUGUUAAGACUUUUUGUAAUGUUUAAAAAACAUAAAAAUUGUCAAAACUAUUUUAAUGUUAUUUUUAUUGUAUAAAAUUUUUGUUGCCUAUCAAUUUUCACAGUUUUGAUUGGUCUAAGCAUUUCGUAAAACUAUAUGCUUAACAAAAAAUUACCAGUUGACUUAAUUUUAAAGGCUGAAGUUUAAAGUUUUGCCGUGGUUUGGAAACCAAAUUGUGUUGCUAAUUAAAUAAUGAUAAGAUACAUGUAACCAGGGAUCUCCAUGGCCUGUUUAACAAUGGCGCCCCGCCAUCGUUCAAAUGUCUUGCGCCAUCGUCAAAUGACCUGCGCCAUUGUUCAAAUGUCUUGCGCCAUCGUCAAAUGACCUGCGCCAUCGUUAAAUUGUCUUCCGCCAUCGUUCAAAACUGUUAUCGUUUAUGUUUAUGCUACAUUGUAGCUAUUUCAGUGGAAACGUAUAUCUGUGUGUUGUCACUUUGAUAUCAAAUACAUGUACAAACUUUUUUCCAUUUUUUAAAAUAUAAAUCAUAUUUUAAUAAUAAAUAAAAUAUUUUUUUCUUAAUUAAAUUUUAAAAAAUUUAGUCCAUAAAUUUAUGUAUUCCAAUUCAUCAUUAUUCUUAACAUUGUGGAUUUUACAAAAAGGACUGAUACUACUCAAAUUACCUUUUUUUGAAUGCUGUAUUUAAAAACAUGUAUUUCAUUACAUUUUCAAUUCUUUAUGGAUUAAAAUAAUAUGGAUAUUUAUAGCAGUUUGAUAGAGAAUCAUAUUUUCAGAUUUAAUUUUUCUUAUUAUUUAUAGAUCACAUAAGAUAAAUCCAGAAUGGGUGAAGUUGAAUAAUUCACGAGGAUAUGAGAGUUAUGAACACAAAUUAUUCAUGAGAUAUACAGGUAAUUGUCUUUAUUUUAAGUUAGAGCUGGUAGACUUUUCUAUAUAUUAUUUGUCCCAAUAAUAGUAAACUAAUAAGGCCGUUAGUUUUUCCCGUUUGAAUUGUUUUACAUUGUCAUAUCGGGGCCUUUUAUAGCUGACUAUGCAGUAUGGGCUUUGCUCAUUGUUGAAGGCUGUACAGUGACCUAUAGUUGUUAUGUCUGUGUCAUUUUAGUCUCUAUUGAACAGUUGUCUCAUUGGCAAUCAUACCACAUCUUCUUUUUUAUAUUAUACACUGUAAAAACUUUUUUUUGAGAUAGGGGAGGUGUUAUUUUUUUAAUUUGAAUUUAUUGUCUUAAAGACAUACACUACAAAAUAACUGUGUUCUCGGGCCUGAUAAAUGCAUGUAUUAUUUAUUUGAAUAUUACAUCACUAAUUGAUAAAUAUUAUUUAUUUCCUUAUUUCACCACUACAUUUAUCUGAUAGAUGGUAUUCAUUUCCUCAUUCCACAACUAUCUGAUGAAUAUUAUUUAUUUCCAUAUUUCAUCACUUUAUGAUUAAUACAAUUUAUUUCCUCAUUGCAUCACUACAUGAUAAAUAUGAUUUUAUUUCCUCAUUACAUUAAUAAUUAUUAACUUUAGAAAUCAAGUUUCACAAAUUAUUAAUAGGAAACUUAUCAACUCAUUUUCAAUAGUGUGAACAAUUUGUUUUUAAUAACCCCAACAAUUUAUCAUACAUGUACACCAUACCCUGAGUAAAUGAAAAAUCAGCAAAAUAAUAACAUGAAUAAGAAACCACUGCCAUCAGGCAUCUUGUAGGCUGAAAAGUAUAUACAUUUGUAUUUAUGUUGUUGAGAAUACAUGUUCAAAGACAAGGGACUGAUACUUGUGUGAGAAUAAAUCGCAAUAGACAAAUCUGUUGUUGAUAUAGAUUAUUAUACCACAGGAACUACAGUUAUGGACAACUUCAGUCAGAAAGUUUACAAAAUAUACCUUAGAAAGUUAUCAACUCUUUUCCAUACAGAAAACUUUAUCUUGUAAAAAAAGCAAAGUAACAACAGCUGAUUUAUUGGUUUUAACAUAGUAAUAUGUAACAACUCUCAAUGUUGUAAUGCCUUUCUGUGAUAUUGGAUGUCUUUUUAGUUCAUUAUAUAAUUAGCUUGAAACUAAAUUAUUUCACUACAUCAUUUUGUACAUUUUGUUUUAAUUUCUCUUUCAGUGCUGUUUGCAGAUGUUGUUUUAUUUUUCCCAGUGAUAUUUCUGAUCUUUAAACAGAUGAAAAUUGGUGAGACUCAAAUGGUAA
rnacentral:lncRNA from 1 species